rnacentral:rRNA from 1 species
CCCCUGCAUUGCUCAGUAGCGGCGAGUGAAGCGGCAAAAGCUCAAAUUUGAAAUCUGGCGUCUUUGGCGUCCGAGUUGUAAUUUGAAGAAGGUAUCUUUGGGCCCGGCUCUUGUCUAUGUUCCUUGGAACAGGACGUCACAGAGGGUGAGAAUCCCGUGCGAUGAGAUGACCCGGGUCUGUGUAAAGUUCCUUCGACGAGUCGAGUUGUUUGGGAAUGCAGCUCUAAGUGGGUGGUAAAUUCCAUCUAAAGCUAAAUAUUGGCGAGAGACCGAUAGCGAACAAGUACAGUGAUGGAAAGAUGAAAAGAACUUUGAAAAGAGAGUGAAAAAGUACGUGAAAUUGUUGAAAGGGAAGGGCUUGAGAUCAGACUUGGUAUUUUGCAUGCUGCUCUCUCGGGGGCGGCCGCUGCGGUUUACCGGGCCAGCAUCGGUUUGGAGCGGCAGGAUAAUGGCGGAGGAAUGUGGCACGGCUUCUGCUGUGUGUUAUAGCCUCUGACGAUGCUGCCAGCCUAGACCGAGGACUGCGGUUUUUAACCUAGGAUGUUGGCAUAAUGAUCUUAAGUCGCCCGUCUUGAAACACGGACMA